GAGGGUAUACCUCGGUGGCAGAGUGCCUGCUUAGCGCACACAAGGUCCUGGGUUCAAUCCCCAGUACCUCCA
rnacentral:tRNA from 1 species